rnacentral:tRNA from 1 species
GGGCGGUUGGUGCGCUGUUGAAGAGGCAACCAGGACAUUCCCAAACAAUCCCAGUACUUGCUGAACUGCAGACCCUUAAUCAGCGAGUCGUGGGUUCGAGCCCUACAUCGCCCA